ensembl:lncRNA novel transcript
GCAGCUUGGAGAAGGAAGCCCUGGAGGGCAGCCUGUUUGAGGUGCAAUGGCAGCUGGCCCAGCUUGAGGCCCGCCGGGAGCAGCUGGAAGCCGAGGGGCAGGCCCUGCUGCUGGCCAAGGAGACCCUGACUGGCCUUGUCUCUGAAGGAGUCUGAGAAGAUGGCGCUGUCAGAGAAGUUGAUGGGUACACGGCACAGCCUGGCCACCAUCUCCCUGGAGAUGGAGCGGCAGAAACCAGAUGCCCAGAGCCGGCAGGAGCAGGACCGGGUAGGCCUGCCGUCGUAGGGAGGCUUGCGGAGCAGGAGCGCCCUCUCUCCACCGAGCUAUCCCGCGGUUUCCAGCAUCCCAUCUGGCGGACUCCUCUUCCUCUCUCUUCUCCUACUCUGGGUCUUCUAUCCUGGUGUUCCUUGAAUGCCUAUCUUCCUUUUGUGCCUCGGAACCUCUCACGCCUGCCACAAGUUACUCUUUUCCUUGGUAGUUCUGAACUUUAAAUAAGGUAAUGCCUGUAAGAAUGCCAUAAAUGCUCAAUAAUUGUCAUCUGUUAUUAUUUUCAUCAGUAACAUCAUCUGAAUCAUCAGUAUUGUCUGCUUUUAACAGCUGCAUUUUUCAUUGUCCAAAUAUAGUCACAUACAUUUGACCAUUUUAUAAUUAUUGAAUAAUAAAUUUGUUCUGCUAUUUUACAAUGAAAAAUAAUGCUGCAGAGAGCAUUUUUGCACAUGUAUCGUGGCAGAUGUAGGCCAGAGGCUCUUCUUUUAUCCAUCCUAUGGCCAACCUAUGAAUGUAUACACGUUUAAUGAGAUUUUGCCAGCAAUCAAAGCCUUCAGGGAAAAUGUCCCUAGCUCUUUACUACAUCAGAUCAAGGACUCUGGAUAAUUGGCAUAACAUCCUGGAAUAGCUGAAACAGAGAUAUUAUUCUCUGCUCUCCUCUGUUGUCUUUGUCUUUUCACGUCUUAAUAAAAGUGCUGGUGACAAGA